rnacentral:rRNA from 1 species
GAACGAACGCUGGCGGCGCGCCUAAUACAUGCAAGUCGAACGAGAAGCUGUAGCAAUACAGUUGUACAGUGGCGAACGGGUGAGGAAUACAUGGGUGACCUACCCUCGAGUGGGGAAUAACCAGCCGAAAGGUUGGCUAAUACCGCGUACGCUUCCCAGUCUACGGGUUGGGAAGGAAAGCGAUGCCGUGGGUAUCGCGCUCAAGGUUGGGCUCAUGUCCUAUCAGCUUGUGGUGGGGGUAACGGCUCACCAAGGCAACGACGGGUAGCUGGUCUGAGAGGACGAUCAGCCACACUGGCACUGCGACACGGGCCAGACUCCUACGGGAGGCAGCAGUAAGGAAUAUUGCGCAAUGGGCGAAAGCCUGACGCAGCGACGCCGCGUGGGGGAGUGAA